rnacentral:tRNA from 1 species
GGGGAUUUAGCUCAGUGAGUGGUAGAGCGCUUGCCUAGGAAGCGCAAGGCCCUGGGUUCGAUCCCCAGCUCCA